rnacentral:lncRNA from 1 species
GGAAAGGCACCCCUGUUAUGGUUGGGCACACUCUGGUUUGGGGAAUGAGAGUAGAGCCGAUGGCCACAGUAUCACACACCCACUCCUCUCACUCUCUGCCCACAGCACUUUCUCAUGGCCCUGGGGACCUCACGGUGGUGCCACUCAUCCUGACCAAGGACCUGCGCCUGCAGCAUGACCCCCGACACAGAUACCUCAUCAGCACCGUUUUCUUUGUCUCUGGCAUCUGCACGCUCCUGCAAGUGUUUUUAGGGGUCAGGUUUGAAUCAUCCCUUGGUCCAGCAUCUCCAUGCUACAGAGGACAUCCGCCCCUUAGUAGCUGUCUUUGUAAUCAGAUUGACUGUCGAGGCAUUCAGGUAACCCUUACUUGCAAAUAUUAUGAUAUUGUUAUAAUUGUUAUAUUUUUUAUUAAGUAUUUUGUUAUUAGGGAUGCCUAAUUUAUGAAUUAAACUUUGUCAUAGGUAUGUAUGUAUAGGAAAAAAACAUCGUCUAUAUAGGGGUUUGGUACUAUACUUGAUUUCAGGCAUCUGCUGG